CUUGCUAUCCCUCCUUGGGCAGCAGCAGUAACACAUUACAGGCUGGGAAGAGUAGCUGCAGCAGCAGCAGCAGCAGCAGCAGAAGCAAGAACAACAUAUUCCAGGGUGAGAGGAGCAGCCACCAGAGUU
rnacentral:miRNA from 1 species